rnacentral:rRNA from 1 species
UACAGGGGGUGCAAACGUUGCUCGGAAUUACUGGGCGUAAAGGGCUCGUAGGCGGCCAACUAAGUCAGACGUGAAAUCCCUCGGCUUAACCGGGGAACUGCCUCUGAUACUGGAUGGCUUGAGAUUGGGAGAGGGAUGCGGAAUUCCAGGUGUAGCGGUGAAAUGCGUAGAUAUCGGGAGGAACACCAGUGGCGAAGGCGGCUUCCUGGACCAGUACUGACGCUGAGGCGCGAAAGCUAGGGGAGCAAACAGG